UACCAGCUCUUCGAGUGGUGUGGAUGUUUAUUGGGCCUAAAGCAUCCGUAGCUGGCUGGGCAAGUCCCCUGUUAAAUCCACCGAUUUAAUCGUUGGAGUGCGGGGGAUACUGUUCGGCUAGGGGACGGGAGAGGUAGACGGUAUUUUCGGGGUAGGGGUGAAAUCCUAUAAUCCCGGGAAGACCACCAGUGGCGAAGGCUGUCUGCUAGAACGCGCCCGACGGUGAGGGAUGAAAGCUGGGGGGAGCGAACCGGAUUAGAUACCCGGGUAGUCCCAGCUGUAAACGAUGCAGGCUAGGUGUUUGGGCGGCCACGUGCCGCUCUAGUGCCGCAGGGAAGCCGUUAAGCCUGCCGCCUGGGGAGUACGGCCGCAAGGCUGAAACUUAAAGGAAUUGGCGGGGGAGCACCACAAGGGGUGAAGCUUGCGGUUU
rnacentral:rRNA from 1 species